AGUGCGGUGGCCGCUCGGUGAGAGCGGCGUGGAGGUGUAGCUUCUGAAGCCAUGAGUGGGAAACGGCCUGCUGAGCCCGGCCCGGCCCGGGUGGGGAAAAAGGAAAAGAAGGAGUUGAUGGCGGAGUUUUCGGACGCUGUCACGGAGGAAACCCUGAAAAAGCAAGUGGCUGAGGCUUGGAGCCACAGGACGCCGUUCCGUCACGAAGCCAUUGUCAUGGAAAUGGACCCCUUUCUUCACUGUGUGAUCCCAAAUUUCAUCCAAAGCCAAAACUUCUUGGAAGGACUUCAGAAGGAACUUUUGAACUUGGACUUCCAUGAAAAAUAUAACGAUUUAUAUAAGUUCCAGCAGUCUGACGAUUUGAAGAAGAGAAGAGAGCCUCACAUCUGUGCUUUAAGGAAAAUUCUAUUUGAAAAUUUCCGGACCUGGCUUUCCGACAUUUCCAAGAUUGACCUGGAAUCGACCAUUGACAUGUCCUGUGCUAAAUAUGAAUUCUCAGAUGCCCUCCUGUGCCAUGACGACGAGCUGGAGGGGCGCCGAGUCGCCUUCAUUCUGUACCUGGUUCCUCCCUGGGACAGGAGCUUGGGGGGCACGCUGGACCUGUACAGUGUUGAUGAACACCUUCAGCCAAAGCAGGUCGUCAAGUCUCUCGUCCCUGCGUGGAACACACUGGUUUUCUUUGAAGUGUCUCCAGUAUCCUUUCACCAGGUGUCUGAAGUCCUGUCUGAGGAAAAGGCCCGUUUGUCCAUUAGCGGCUGGCUUCAUGGCCCUUCGCUGACCCGACCCCCCAACUACUGUGAACCCCUCCUGCCUCGGAGCCCACACAUCCCACAAGAUCAUGAAAUUUUGUAUGAUUGGAUCAACCCUACUUACCUGAACAUGGAUUACCAAGUCCAGAUUCAAGAAGAAUUUGAAGAAAGAUCUGAAAUUCUCCUAAAGGACUUCCUUAAGCCUGAGAAAUUUGCAAAGGUCUGUGAGGCUCUGGAGCACGGAGAUGUGGAAUGGCACAGCCGAGGUCCCCCGAACAAAAGGUUUUAUGAGAAAGCUGAGGAGAGCCAGCUUCCUGAAGUACUGAAGGAGUGCAUGGGAUUGUUUCGCUCGGAAGCACUGUUCUUGCUGCUUUCCAACUUCACAGGCCUGAAGCUGCACUUCUUGGCUCCUUCAGAAGAUGACGAGAUCGAGGACAAAAAAGAAGGAGAAGCAGCUUCUGCUGCUGAUGGCACUGAAGAAGGAACCAGCCACAGCUCCCCCCAGUCCGCGGCCGGCCGGGCCGCCGUCAGCCGUGACAAGCAGACCCACACAGAGCCAGAGGAAAAGGAAGCAAAGGAAGAGACCAGUGUUCCCACCUGCCAGGGGGAGCUGAGGCAUUGGAAGACUGGUCACUACACCUUAAUUCAUGACAACAGCAAGACCGAAUUUGCCCUAGACCUCAUGCUCUACUGUGGCUGUGAAGGCUGGGAGCCAGAGUAUGGCGGCUUUACUUCCUACAUUGCCAAAGGUGAAGAUGAAGAGCUACUAACAGUGAAUCCAGAAAAUAAUUCUUUGGCACUGGUCUACAGAGACAGAGAGACUCUGAAAUUCGUCAAGCACAUUAACCACCGAAGCCUGGAACAAAGGAAAACCUUCCCAAAUAGAACAGGUUUUUGGGACUUUUCAUUUGUCUAUUAUGAAUGACAGGGGUGGACCAAGCUGAAGAAAGGAACUUCUUCAACACUGGAAAGUCUGGACGAGCCAAGCGCAGAGAAAGAGCCGCGAGGGGCCUGUCUGACAGUGUCCCGAGCUGCCUGCUGGCCGUCGGAGACCAUGGUGGUCUCCUGCCUACACCUUGAGCUUGGAGCUAGUACGCAAAGGAGCUGAUCGCAGUAGUUUAGAGAAUGACAGAAUCUUCCAUCCUGUUCAAGCUCAGCCCGUCACAGUCCCCCGGUGCUUCUGGCUCUGCUGUGCUGUCCCUCCGCCAGGCCAGUGUGGACACAAAGGAGCCUCGAGUGCCCUGGGGAAAGGCCUUACCAGGUGGCCAGGACCUUCGGUGAAGGCAGGCAGCCGCUAGGCCACGAGGAGUCGAUGCCAGAUGCCACUGCAGGUCCAUCCAGAGCGAGGUGUCUGCAAAACUAGAUGAUUCUAUGCCGCAUGUAGCUUCCUGUCUCCUAAGUGCUCGAGUCAACUGUAAGACCAGUGGCCGGACCUCCCUGGUGGCCUGCGGGUUAAGUGUCAGCACUUUCACUGCUAUAGCCUGAG